rnacentral:lncRNA from 1 species
UUGCAGUAAUGAAGUAGAAAUUUUAGAAAAAAUUUAGGGGCUGUGUUGAUGUAUAUUAUCGAUGGAGGGUCGUGCACAAAGCGAAGUUUGUUUUUGCUAUUGAGAUCCAUACAUAUCGAGCAUUUCCAGGUAGCAUAUUUUCUUUGUAAGGAGAUCAGGCAUUAAUACAGCCCCACGAUUGUCGUCGGGGGUUAAGAAAUACGGGGAUUUGAUAUCAUUGAUCAAUUGUGAAGGCAUGGAGGAUGCAGAGUCAAACAUGAUUUCCGAUGUUCGCAGAAGCUAGAAGAAGAUAGAGAAGGUAGCAAUAAUGGAAAUGCUCCGAUACCACAUUAAAGUUUGAUACAGAGAAACACUAAUUGAGCAUAAAAAUGAGUAGAAACAACAAAUUCCAUGUUACUGCAUAGAGAAACUUUAAGCUAUACAUGGUAAAUAAAGCAUGAAAUUUAUGGUGAAUCUCCACCAGCUACUACCUUGACAGAACUAACCAUGAAGAUGACUGAGGCCUUGAAUAAAGUUUCAGCCUCGACACCAAUAGCAGACAUGGGUGCUGCACCUAUUGGCAUUAAACUGGAUGGAUCCAAUUAUACCCUAUGGUCCCAAGUGGUUGAGAUGUAUAUCGCAGCCAAGUAUAAAAUGGGAUAUAUUAAUGGUGACCUUCCUCAGCCAUCUGAGACGGAUCCCACCUUCAUGCGAUCGCGAACUGAUAACGCAAUCAUCAACGGUUAACUCUAUGGAGCCUCUCUUAUCAGUACCUUCAUUUGGUACCCAACCACAAAGCAAGUGUGGGAUGCUAUUGCCACAACAUUCUUUGAUGGAAGUGAUACCUCCCAAGUCUAUGAACUCCGCAGGUGGGUAAGCAGGCUUAAGCAAGCUGGUGGUUUGUUGGAAAAUUUUUAUAAUGAAUUGCAGGGCCUUUGGCGAGAAAUUGAUUUUUGUCGUCCAAAUCCCAUGGAGUGCCCAACGGAUGUAAAGCACUAUAAUUCCAUCCUUCAAGAAGACAGGGUGAUUGUUUUCUUAGACGGACUUGAUGACCGCCUGGACCAUAUUCAGAGUGGAGUAUUACAAAUGAAACCUUUUCCUACAGUAGAGCAAGCAUAUGCCCAUGUCCGAAGAGAAGCAGAUCGACAGGCUAUGAUGAUAGAAUCUGGAGGCAUGGAGGACAUAUAUGGAGCAGUCUUGGCAUCCAAAAGCUUCAAGAAUGGCUCGAGUUCAGCCUCCAAUGUUGGGCCUUUGUCUUUGAAUAGCAACAGGUCAAAUGCUAGUUCUCAUCAAAAGCAAAAGAUCAAUACCGAGGGGACCAAAUGCUCUCAUUGUGGGAACACUAAUCACACCCAUUACACGUGCUUUAAAUUAAAUGAAUAUCCAUAUUGGUGGCAUGAUCUUCAAGCCAAGAAGAGGCGUGAUGG